rnacentral:siRNA from 1 species
UUAAUAGCCCUUUUCCCUCUUGG